rnacentral:rRNA from 1 species
GACGAAUCAUCUGGAAAGAUGAAUCAAAGAAGGUAAUAAUCCUGUAGUCGAAAAUGUUGUCUCUCUUGAGUGGAUCCUGAGUACGACGGAGCACGUGAAAUUCCGUCGGAAUCUGGGAGGACCAUCUCCUAAGGCUAAAUACUCUCUAGUGACCGAUAGUGAACCAGUACCGUGAGGGAAAGGUGAAAAGCACCCCGGAAGGGGAGUGAAAUAGAACCUGAAACCGUGUGCUUACAAGUAGUCAGAGCCCGUUAAUGGGUGAUGGCGUGCCUUUUGUAGAAUGAACCGGCGAGUUACGAUUUGAUGCAAGGUUAAGCAGUAAAUGUGGAGCCGUAGCGAAAGCGAGUCUGAAUAGGGCGUUUAGUAUUUGGUCGUAGACCCGAAACCAGGUGAUCUACCCUUGGUCAGGUUGAAGUUCAGGUAACACUGAAUGGAGGACCGAACCGACUUACGUUGAAAAGUGAGCGGAUGAACUGAGGGUAGCGGAGAAAUUCCAAUCGAACCUGGAGAUAGCUGGUUCUCUCCGAAAUAGCUUUAGGGCUAGCCUCAAGUGAUGAUUAUUGGAGGUAGAGCACUGUUUGGACGAGGGGCCCCUCUCGGGUUACCGAAUUCAGACAAACUCCGAAUGCCAAUUAAUUUAACUUGGGAGUCAGAACAUGGGUGAUAAGGUCCGUGUUCGAAAGGGAAACAGCCCAGACCACCAGCUAAGGUCCCAAAAUAUAUGUUAAGUGGAAAAGGAUGUGGCGUUGCCCAGACAACUAGGAUGUUGGCUUAGAAGCAGCCAUCAUUUAAAGAGUGCGUAAUAGCUCACUAGUCGAGUGACACUGCGCCGAAAAUGUACCGGGGCUAAACAUAUUACCGAAGCUGUGGAUUGUCCUUUGGACAAUGGUAGGAGAGCGUUCUAAGGGCGUUGAAGCAUGAUCGUAAGGACAUGUGGAGCGCUUAGAAGUGAGAAUGCCGGUGUGAGUAGCGAAAGACGGGUGAGAAUCCCGUCCACCGAUUGACUAAGGUUUCCAGAGGAAGGCUCGUCCGCUCUGGGUUAGUCGGGUCCUAAGCUGAGGCCGACAGGCGUAGGCGAUGGAUAACAGGUUGAUAUUCCUGUACCACCUAUAAUCGUUUUAAUCGAUGGGGGGACGCAGUAGGAUAGGCGAAGCGUGCGAUUGGAUUGCACGUCUAAGCAGUAAGGCUGAGUAUUAGGCAAAUCCGGUACUCGUUAAGGCUGAGCUGUGAUGGGGAGAAGACAUUGUGUCUUCGAGUCGUUGAUUUCACACUGCCGAGAAAAGCCUCUAGAUAGAAAAUAGGUGCCCGUACCGCAAACCGACACAGGUAGUCAAGAUGAGAAUUCUAAGGUGAGCGAGCGAACUCUCGUUAAGGAACUCGGCAAAAUGACCCCGUAACUUCGGGAGAAGGGGUGCUCUUUAGGGUUAACGCCCAGAAGAGCCGCAGUGAAUAGGCCCAAGCGACUGUUUAUCAAAAACACAGGUCUCUGCUAAACCGUAAGGUGAUGUAUAGGGGCUGACGCCUGCCCGGUGCUGGAAGGUUAAGAGGAGUGGUUAGCUUCUGCGAAGCUACGAAUCGAAGCCCCAGUAAACGGCGGCCGUAACUAUAACGGUCCUAAGGUAGCGAAAUUCCUUGUCGGGUAAGUUCCGACCCGCACGAAAGGCGUAACGAUUUGGGCACUGUCUCAACGAGAGACUCGGUGAAAUCAUAGUACCUGUGAAGAUGCAGGUUACCCGCGACAGGACGGAAAGACCCCGUGGAGCUUUACUGUAGCCUGAUAUUGAAAUUCGGCACAGCUUGUACAGGAUAGGUAGGAGCCUUUGAAACGUGAGCGCUAGCUUACGUGGAGGCGCUGGUGGGAUACUACCCUAGCUGUGUUGGCUUUCUAACCCGCACCACUUAUCGUGGUGGGAGACAGUGUCAGGCGGGCAGUUUGACUGGGGCGGUCGCCUCCUAAAAGGUAACGGAGGCGCUCAAAGGUUCCCUCAGAAUGGUUGGAAAUCAUUCAUAGAGUGUAAAGGCAUAAGGGAGCUUGACUGCGAGACCUACAAGUCGAGCAGGGUCGAAAGACGGACUUAGUGAUCCGGUGGUUCCGCAUGGAAGGGCCAUCGCUCAACGGAUAAAAGCUACCCCGGGGAUAACAGGCUUAUCUCCCCCAAGAGUUCACAUCGACGGGGAGGUUUGGCACCUCGAUGUCGGCUCAUCGCAUCCUGGGGCUGUAGUCGGUCCCAAGGGUUGGGCUGUUCGCCCAUUAAAGCGGUACGCGAGCUGGGUUCAGAACGUCGUGAGACAGUUCGGUCCCUAUCCGUCGUGGGCGUAGGAAAUUUGAGAGGAGCUGUCCUUAGUACGAGAGGACCGGGAUGGACAUACCUCUGGUGUACCAGUUGUCGUGCCAACGGCAUAGCUGGGUAGCUAUGUGUGGACGGGAUAAGUGCUGAAAGCAUCUAAGCAUGAAGCCCCCCUCAAGAUGAGAUUUCCCAACUUCGGUUAUAAGAUCCCUCAAAGAUGAUGAGGUUAAUAGGUUCGAGGUGGAAGCAUGGUGACAUGUGGAGCUGACGAAUACUAAUCGAUCGAAGACUUAAUCAA